UACGGAGGGGGCGAGCGUUGUUCGGAAUUAUUGGGCGUAAAGGGUGCGUAGGCGGUUCCGCAAGUCCUGUGUGAAAAGUCUUCGGGCCUCAACUCGAAGUCUGCACGGGAAACUGCGGGGCUUGAGUGUGGGAAGAGGUGAGUGGAAUUCCCGGUGUAGCGGUGAAAUGCGUAGAUAUCGGGAGGAACGACCGGUGGCGAAGGCGGGUUCUACUGGGCCUUACCUGACGGCUGAGGAGCGAAAGCGGUGGGG
rnacentral:rRNA from 1 species